UCGGCGCUCCUUCCGUCUCUCCUGUAAACACCUAUCCCUCCUUCGGCGGUGACUCACUCUGGUAAGGCCUCCCUCGGCACUCACUCUCUAUCGCAAACCCUCUAUCGACGCUCACUCUCUCUCGCAAACCCUCAAUCGUCACUCCUCCCUCCAUGGUUCAGCACCCGCCACGUUGCCGUCUCCCUCUCUGAAGUCAUCGCGCCGCCGUCUCCAUCUUCUUCACUCGUCGCACCUCCGUCAGCCACGUUCAGCGUUCGCAGCACUGUGGACAUUUAAGAGGCACAUGCAGGGCAAAUAGUUGCUGUAUUUGGUGUUGAUUGUGCAUCAGGUUCGUCUUUUGUCCUUGCCCUAACCUAUUGAUGUCUGGAAUCCUAUAUUGUACCUUUAUUUAUUCAAGAUUUAAUUAAGGGUCUUGUUAACAAGUGUUAAGGCACUUGCUAAGAAUACUAUAAGAACAAGUAAAUGUUAAUUUUUUUAAUUUUUCUGUGCACUUAAUGCAAACCAAAACUUUUCUAUUUUCUCUCUUAACCAAUUCCCAUAGGAAACUCUUAAGUUAAAUCUUUUAAAUUAAUUUGUAAGGCUCUAAUUGUAUAGUUU